rnacentral:rRNA from 1 species
CGGCUCCUACGGGGCGCAGCAGUGGGGAAUAUUGCACAAUGGGCGAAAGCCUGAUGCAGCAACGCCGCGUGAAGGAAGAAGGGUUUCGGCUCGUAAACUUCUAUUAACAGGGACGAAAGAAAUGACGGUACCUGAAUAAGAAGCCCCGGCUAACUACGUGCCAGCAGCCGCGGUAAUACGUAGGGGGCAAGCGUUAUCCGGAAUUAAUGGGUGUAAAGGGUGAGUAGGCGGCAUGGGUAGCCAGAUGUGAAAGCCUUUGGCUUAACCCGAGGAUUGCAUUUGGAACUA